rnacentral:rRNA from 1 species
AAAGUCUGGCCUGCCCAAUGAAUAAUUACUUUUAAAUGGCCGCGGUACUUUGACCGUGCAAAGGUAGCAUAAUAAUUAGUUUUUUAAUUGAGAACUGGUAUGAAAGGUUUGACGAGGGAAAUACUGUCUCGAUUUAAUUUAUAUUAGAAUUUUAUUUUUAAGUAAAAAAGCUUAAAUGAUUUUAAAAGACGAGAAGACCCUAUAGAAUUUUAUAUCCCUAUAUAUAUUUGAAAGGUUAAGAAUUAUAGAUUUAGAUAUAUAUAUUUAUAUUUGGUUGGGGCAACUAAAAAAUUAAAAUAACUUUUUUUAUAUAUAAUACAUUGAUAUAUGAGUAAG